rnacentral:lncRNA from 9 species
AGGUUCCAGAGCAUCAUCUGGAAUGAAAACUCUAAGGAGGGUGCAAAACAAGACAACUUACAUGGGGUAUCUUUUACUUUGGUAAUUGACUAUGGGACACUUGACACAGCAGGAAAUGGGGGAGUGGAUAGUGUAAGAACAGCUGGAACACCUGGAGAAACUUUAUCCUCAGAGGGAACUGUGGAUUCAACAUCUUCAUUUCAUGUGCUACCUGGUAUUAUUGUCUUUCUUUGGAUUUUUUUUUUUUUUUUAUUUUCCCUAAUGGCACGCCAAGCUUCCAGAUGGAAGGAAUGGUAUUUUACCUCAUUUUAUCCCUGCGAUGUCUGGCCAGCACCACGAACAUUGCAUGUGUUCAGAACCCAUUGUUAAUUGAUUGAUUCCUGCCAUUCCCAAUGGUCAUAUAUCUUAUUGCUCAGCAAGCUGUAGUUAAAAAAAAAAAAAAAUCCAUGAGCCCCAAUAAGGGAAAUGAGUUAACAGUUGCUGCUUCCUUUAACUCUUAAGGAGUCCAAAUGCAGUAAUGCUGUCAUUUGGGUCUGUAACUAGAUUUUUUUUUUUAAAGCAAAAAUCUAACAAAAAAACUGAAUAAAUAUUUGGAAAGCCUGGCCAAAAUAGUCUCUUAGGAAGGUUUUGUUUAUUUAACCUUAAUAAUUCUACCGACUUAAUCAUUUCUUUUCUGAGAUUUGCCCCGUGACCUAUCUCAUCCCAGAUUGUCCUGAUUAUUACUUGCCAGCAGUAGAAACUUAGUGGCAAGAAGGAUAAAAUGUACCUCCAUGAAGGUAAGGGCUUGGCACAAAAGAGAUGAUUAUAAUAGACUGUAAAAAUGGCCACAAAUUGUUCUUCUCCAUCUUCUACAGCCCCUUGUAAUUGAUUUUAUAGUUCUCAUCACAUAUGGAGUCUCUGGCUCCAUUCCUUAAAUCUGGGCUGAACUUGAUUUUUGCCCAUUAAUUAAUGUAAUGCAGGCAGAGACAUGAGAAGCAACUUUUCACUGAGAGUUGCCCUCCUGCUCCUCUUAGAAUCCCAAGUUGCCAUGUGAAGAAGCCAGGCUAGCUGACCACAUGGGAUCCACUGCAGCCCAGUUGCCUCUGUUGCAUCAGCUGAUUGCCAGCCAAUGCUCAAAAAUAGAACCACCUUAGCUGACUGACGGCUAACUGAAGACACGGGAAAAAUUCCCCAACCAAGACUAGCAGAAGAACCACAUAGCUAAGCCCUGCCCAAAUUGCCACUCUGCUGAACUGUGAGCUGAAUAAAUGGUUGCUGUUUGGAGUUGCUAUACAACAAAAGCCAACUAAUAUAGGGCUCACUACAAUUCUCUUGAGAUAAGUAAAAUGAAUAAAUGAAUGAAAUAGGUUAUUUUUGUCUCCCCAUUCCACAGGUAAAGAAAUCAAAGUCAAAGUAGUUAAAUAACAUGGCAAAUAUUAGACUGCCAGUUAGGGAGGUCCCAUCGUAGCUCAGUGGAAACAAAUCUGAUUAGCAUCCAUGAGGACCCAAGUUUGAUCCCUGGCCUUGCUCAAUGGGUUAAAGAUCCAGUGUUGCCAUAAGCUGUGGUGUAGGUUGCAAACGUGCUCGGAUCCCGCAUUGCUGUGGCUGUGGGGGGCGGCUGGCAACUGUAACUCUGAUUUGACCCCUAGACAGGGAACCUCCGUAUGCCAAGGGUGCUGCCCUAAAAAGACCAAAAAAAAAAAAAAAAAAAAAAAAAGUAGACAGCUAGUUAGUGAAGGGCCCAAUAUAAAAUAGCUAUUGUUCUUUUCUUUUAAAAUAAUGUUCUGGAGUUCCCGUCAUGGCUCGGUGGUUAACGAAUCCGACUAGAAACCAUGAGGUUGUGGGUUCAGUCCCUGGCCUUGCUCAGUGGGUUAAGGAUCUGGUGUUGCUGUGAGCUGUGGUGUAGGUUGCAGACACGGCUCACAUCCCGCGUUGCUAUGGCUCUGGAGUAGGCCAACGGCUACAGCUCUGAUUUGACCCCUAGCCUGGGAAUCUCCAUAUGCCGCAGGAGCUGCCCAAGAAAUGGCAAAAAAAAAAAAGACAAAAAAAAAAAAAAAUAAUGGUCUGUCUCCCUAAUGAUAUUGUAAAGUCCUCAGGACCAGGAAUCUCUACGUGUUCAGAUCAGCAGUGUCUAACCAAGUAUUUUAUGCAUUUUCUCUUUAAAAACGACUUUUGAAAAUGGCAUAUUUGCACAGAGCUCACAGGUGAAAAGGUACAGAAGCUUCAAUGAAAUGUAAAUCUCUUUACGAUGCCUUUUACCAAGCCAUCCAGUUUUUCUCCCCAGGGGCAUUUACUGUCAAAAGUAGUUUUGUUUGGAGUUCCUGUCGUGGCUCAGUGGUUAACGAAUCUGACUAAGAACCAUGAGGUUGCGGGUUCGAUCCCUGGCCUUGCUUAGCGGGUUAAGG